rnacentral:rRNA from 1 species
CUACCGGGGUUUCUAAUCCUGUUUGCUCCCCUAGCUUUCGUGCAUCAGCGUCAGUUAUGGUCCAGUGAGCCGCUUUCGCCACAGGUGUUCCUCCUGAUAUCUACGCAUUUCACCGCUACACCAGGAAUUCCACUCACCUCUCCCACACUCGAGCCCUGCAGUUUCUCAUGCAGUCUAUGAGUUGAGCCCAUAGAUUUCACAUAAGACUUACAAAACCGCCUACGCACCCUUUACGCCCAAUAAUUCCGAACAACGCUCGCCCCCCUCGUAUUACCGCGGCUGCUGGCAC